AGUAGGGUCAGCUAAAUAAAGCUUUUGGGUCCAUACCCCAAACAUGUAGGUGGAAACCCUCCCUCUACUA
rnacentral:tRNA from 1 species